GGCGGGGGAAGAAAAAAGAAGCUGUGAACAAGAAGAACUUGAAAAUACAGUAAAUAAAAAACAGUUGCAAGACGAGGAGGAUGAAGAAUUAAAAGCUGAUAAAGGAAAGAAACGAAAACUGAGCAAGGAAGACAAGAAAAAUGCCAAGGAAAAAAAGGUUAAAGUUACAGCGAGGAAAAAGCCAGGUUUUGACGUAGAAUUGUAUAAUGAAACGUCUUACUUCGUUAGAAACGAACAUGGCCAUGAAGAAAUAAUGAAGAAGAGCGGCUACUAAAACACAUACAGCCUGUAGACAAAUUAUUGUACAUUAUGUACAUGUCAAGAAUUUAUCCCAGACCAUAAAAAAACAUACAUCCAAUCAGAAUGCAGUAGAGACAAAGAUGUCUGAUCGCUAAAAUGAAGACAGCAAGCAACAAUAUACCACAGCCAAUGUAGACAACUAGUGAAAAGACAAGCUCCUUGAAAACAAGACAAGUUCACCGGUUUAGUAUAAAUUUCUUGAUCAACUCUAACAGCAUGCAGGGUAACAAAUGAAACCAUUACAGGCUUGGAUACCUUGUCAUAUACCGCUAAUGAAGCGAAGCUAGUCAUGUGAUCACACUGACACAGGGUGCCAUUAUCACUACUAACAACCACACGGCAACCUUCUGACGACCAGCUACCUCCACGAUCAGGAUCCCUGUUCAAAUUCAUAAACCUUUAAGGACUGUAGCUCACGAUUUGCAAGAGAGGGUGGGUUGGAGCAGAUGCCAGAGAAUUUAGCCAGAUGUUGUGAAAUGUUAUAUGUACCAUAGAGAUUGCAGUCACAGAAAUCAAGCGAUUGAAAAUACCACCGUUAGGAGCAGCAGAACCAAAGGGUGAAACAACAUUAUAUAUGAUAAUAUAUAUGACUGUGUACUCACACUUCACGUAAAGAUGGAUUGUAAUUGAAAACAUCAUGAGUUUGGAAAAUGAAACAAAGCAUAUAUGUAUGUAGUCUUGCAGCAAAGAACAACAUUGGUUCUAACAUGGGAAUCAUGCCAAUUAUUAUGGUGAGUACAUUGCACACAUAGCAAUAACAGGCAUCCUACUGUAGCUAGCAAUUGUAUCCAGAUAUGUUUGUGGGUAUAAUACAUUUAACAUGCAUAUGGCAUGCACUGCUUGGGUAAUGUAAAUGAUGACUGUUGCACAGGCAAGCCAUCAGAGUUGCCUGUCUCUGAUGUUUUGCACAAGGGGUUUUUCCUGAAAAUAGGCAUCCCUCUGACUCUUAAUACAAGGAAAUUUUCUGUUGCAAUCAUUCUUGGAAUGCAACCCAAACAUCCCUUGAGAUAUAAAUAACAAUGAAACAGCCACCAUCUUGGUUGAUCUAGCGAGAGAAGCUUAAUGAGGAAUGUAUCACAACAAGUGGCAGUCAAACAAACUUUGCAAACAGAAGUGGUACCAGUUGCUAAGGUGUGACAUCAAUAAUCUGGUUACACUAAGGUUUCAAUAUUUCAAGAUCCUAAUAUAAUUUGGCRCAAAUUAUGAAGCAAAUCGUAGACAAGAAUAGCAGACUUUUUGAUUAAUCCUGCCAAACUGUGUUUAUGUCCUAGUCAGGCACAGCAUAGUCAAGGCAUUUUGAUGAUUGUAAUAUGCGAUUCUCAUGCUAUAAAGUUCAAUUUUGAUUUUAAUCAGUAUUAAAAAUAUUUUAGCAUAAAUCUGUGCCUGAGUGCUUUGGGCAUAUUGAUUAUGCUUAGCUGGUUCAUCCAGCAUGAAGUCCUGGUCAAUUUUGAUUUGUCAGAGCCUGAGUGCUUUGGGUAUAUUGAACUUAACUGUUCUCUGCGCCUAGCUGGUUCAUCCAGUAUGAAGUCCUGGUCAAUUUUGAUUUGUCAGAGCCUGAGUGCUUUGGGUAUAUUGAACUUAACUGUUCUCUAUGCUUAGCUGGUUCAUCCAGUACAAAGUCCUGGCCAAUUU